rnacentral:rRNA from 1 species
GACAUACUAAGAACUUUCCAGAGAUGGAUUGGUGCCUUCGGGAACUUAGAUACAGGUGCUGCAUGGCUGUCGUCAGCUCGUGUCGUGAGAUGUUGGGUUAAGUCCGCAACGAGAGCAACCCUUUUCCUUAUUUGCCAGCGGGUAAUGCCGGGAACUUUAAGGAUACUGCCAGUGACAAACUGGAGGAAGGCGGGGACGACGUCAAGUCAUCAUGGCCCUUACGGCCAGGGCUACACACGUGCUACAAUGGUCGGUACAAAGGGUUGCUACCUCGCGAGAGGAUGCUAAUCUCAAAAAGCCGAUCGUAGUCCGGAUCGCAGUCUGCAACUCGACUGCGUGAAGUCGGAAUCGCUAGUAAUCGCGGAUCAGAAUGCCGCGGUGAAUACGUUCCCGGGCCUUGUACACACCGCCCGUCACACCAUGGGAGUUUGUUGCACCAGAAGUAGGUAGUCUAACCGCAAGGAGGACGCUUACCACGGUGUGGCCGAUGACUGGGGUGAAGUCGUAACAAGGUAAGCGUAGAUGA